rnacentral:rRNA from 1 species
AUUGAACGCUGGCGGCAUGCCUUACACAUGCAAGUCGAACGGCAGCACGGGAGCAAUCCUGGUGGCGAGUGGCGAACGGGUGAGUAAUAUAUCGGAACGUGCCCGGUCGUGGGGAUAACGUAGCGAAAGCUACGCUAAUACCGCAUACGAUCUACGGAUGAAAGCGGGGGAUCGCAAGACCUCGCGCGAUUGGAGCGGCCGAUAUCAGAUUAGGUAGUUGGUGAGGUAAAGGCUCACCAAGCCGACGAUCUGUAGCUGGUCUGAGAGGACGACCAGCCACACUGGGACUGAGACACGGCCCAGACUCCUACGGGAGGCAGCAGUGGGGAAUAUUGGACAAUGGGCGCAAGCCUGAUCCAGCAAUGCCGCGUGCAGGAUGAAGGCC